UUUGUGUUAUAAUAUUUUUUAAUAAAUAAAAUUAUCUCAAAAGGUUUUAUAACAUAUUUUACCUAUUUAUGUGAAGAAAAAAAAUUAAUAACAUUUUUUAUAUAUAUAUUUUGUUGAAUGGAACAGUAUGCAUCAAAUAUUAAACAUUUUAAAAACUUAUAAUGGGGUAGUAUGGAGGAUCUUUCCUUUUUUGAAUUAUACAAUUUUGUUUUACAAAAUCUCUGAUACUGAUGUUAGGACAAAAUCUCUGAUACUGAUGUUAGGACAAAAUCUCUGAUACUGAUGUUAGGACAAAAUCUCUGAUACUGAUGUUAGGACAAAAUCUCUGAUACUGAUGUUAGGACAAAAUAUCAAUUUCAAUGAUUUAUAAAUAUAUACGAUACGAAAUAGUAAACAUGUAUUUAGUCUAUGAGGUACGAAAUGGUUAAUACAGUUGGCCCUUAGGGUACAAAAUGGUAAAUGUUGGGUACGAAAUGGUAAUUUAGGGUAUGAAACAAUUUGCUGCCAAAUUUUCAACCCAAAACAUAAACUGCUUUAAUUUUAGUCUUAAAAACUGUACAUCCCUUCUAUGGAGAAUUUUAGGAAUUUUAUCAACUUCAAUCACUAUUAUAAAACCUCAAGGAUUGCAAAAGGGAAAUAAAAAGAAUUUUUUUCAGAACUUGAAAUAAACAGAUAAAACAUGGGCAAAUGAUUGAUUAAUUACUUUGAGUUGUUUUGAUAAUAUUCAUUAAACUGAAACAAUCUACAGCCUAUUUAAAAAACAUGCAAAUGAUUCAUUAAUCAAAUUAUUUUGAUAAUAUUCAUUAAACUAGUACUGAAACAUUCAACAGCCUAUUUCAUUGAAGAAGUGAAGAAAUAAAUAUAUAAAAAUUCCUUCCAUGUACUUUGUGCCAACAGCGGUGCAUGAUCUGUUAGGUUUCAAGCAAAAUUAUUAGGGUUGGUUGAACGAUUUUGAUCAUGUUGCCUUCAAUAAACAGCUGCGCCAUGAGCGCAUGAUACACCCGUCGCUUUUUCAAAGAAUAAAGUUCAAUAACUUCUCAAUGUCAUAUCAGAAAUUUAUAAAAAACUAAAGGGAGGUUAUUUCAAUAGAUAUAAACCAGUCACCAAAGUUUCAUGAAAACUGCUCAAAGCACUUUUAAGUAUAUAUUGUUCGAAAACUUGAAAAUCACCCCUUUUUUAAGAAUAAAAUCCCAUAACUCGUAAACGCAAAAUCUAAAAUUAAUAAAAAUCGAAAGGCAGCUUACAUCAAUAGAUAUAAACAAUUCACUAAAGUUCCAUGAAAACUGCUCAAAGUAAUUUUGAGUUGUUGUCCGAAAACUGGAAAAUCACCUUUUUUUAAUGAAUAAAACCCUAUAACUCAGAAACAUAAAAUCUAAAAUUUAUAAAAAUCAAAAGGGAGCUCAAAUAAAUAAAUAAAAACAAUUCACCAAAGUUUCUUGCAAAUUGGUGAAAGUGUUUAUGAGUUUUUGUCCGAAAACUAGAAAAUCCCCCUUUUUUAAUGAAUUUAACCCCAUACUUCGGAAAUGUAAAAUCUGAAAUUUAUAAAAAUCGAAAGAGAGCUCUAGUCAAUAUAUAUAAACAAUGCACCAAAGUUUCAUACAAAUUGGUUAAAGUGUUUUUGAGUUUUGUCUGACAUGUUGACGACAGACAGAAAGAUGGUCAACUUAAUACCAUAAUACGUCUUUUAAAAGGGAGUAUAAAAAUUGAAAAUAAACUAAAUACAAAAAAUGGUUCAUGUUUAAUAUGAGAAAUUAUUGUAAACACAAUAAUAAAUAUGAUUGUAUACAAUUUUCCAAUAAAAAUGUUACAAAAGGUAACCAUGGUAACAAUACAUUAUCUUUUUAAAUUCAUGAUAACCAUAAUCGUAAUCGAAAAGUUUUGUUCAUUUUAUAUUAGCCCCUGUCACCAAUAUACAAAA